AGGAUCAGCCUGCCAAUGCUCAGACCAUACGCCGCACACUGCAUCAAGUUGGUCUGCAUUGAUGUCAUCCCAGAAGGAAGCCUCUUCUAAAGAUGAUGCACAAGAAAGUCCGCAAACAGUAUGCUGAAGACAAGCAGACUAAGGACAUGGAUAACUGGAACCAUGUCCUGUGGUCCGAUGAGACCAAGAUACACUUAUUUGGUUCAGAUGAAGUCAAGCGUGUGUGGCGGCAACCAGGUGAGGAGUACAAAGACAAGUGUGUCUUGCCUACAGUCAAGCAUGGUGAU